UACGGAGGGUGCAAGCGUUAAUCGGAAUUACUGGGCGUAAAGCGCGCGUAGGUGGUUCGUUAAGUUGGAUGUGAAAUCCCCGGGCUCAACCUGGGAACUGCAUCCAAAACUGGCGAGCUAGAGUAUGGUAGAGGGUGGUGGAAUUUCCUGUGUAGCGGUGAAAUGCGUAGAUAUAGGAAGGAACACCAGUGGCGAAGGCGACCACCUGGACUGAUACUGACACUGAGGUGCGAAAGCGUGGGGAGCAAACAGG
rnacentral:rRNA from 1 species